UUUGUCAAAAAAAUCCCUGCCCCCUUUCCUCUCUUCACCUUUGCGGAAAAAAAUCCCCAUCCCUUAGUCGGUUCCCCUGCCCCCCUUUCUUUUCCGGUUCCAAAUCAUGCACGGCUCCCAGGCACGCAAGACUCCUCCUUAAGUGCACACGAUCUUCUUCUCCGAUGUUUUUUCCAUGAUUUGCUUAAGGAUACUCCCUCUCGGGUGGCACCUUUUGCUACCAAGCUUGUUCCUCCCGUAUCUGGUAUCAUGACCGUUUUUGAGGGCAAGGGCGGUCGGAAGGUCACAAAGAUAGUAGGCAUUGUCGAGGAUGAUGACUACCUUCUCCUCUAGUGUCGGUGAUAGAUCAGGCGUCGCUUACUUCCCCCUUAGCCUCCUCUCUCUGCCUCGCCUUCAAGGAGCGAGGGAACUGAGGAGAAAGAGGCGAACCCCCUCCACCCAAUCCUAUCCGAUGGUGAUUCGAUAGCGAACGACCAUGACGAGGGAUCCAAGCGCUCGUACGAAGCCGAUGAGAAAGUCUAAAUCGCUGAGGAUGACGCCAAUGAUGAUGAUAGAUCAUUUGCACUGCCUUUCUCUUGGAAGAAGUUGUAUCUCUUCAUAGGGCCAGGGUUCUUGAUGAGCAUAGGGUUCCUAGAUUCAGGGAAUCUGGAAGAGGAUUUGCAAGCCGAGGCUAUUGUGGGCUAUUCUUUGCUAUGGAUAUUGCUGUGGGCGAGGGCGACGAGGCUGCUAAUUAGAUGCUAUCGGUAAUGCUCAGCAUGGCUACUGGGUGGCAUUUGGCGGAGCUGUGCCUGGAAGAGUACUCACGCUAUGUACAGUUGGUGCUUUGGUUCAUGGCGAAGGUGGCCGUGCUUGGGGCCGACAUCCAGGAGGUGAUAGGGAGUGCUAUUGUGGUCAAGAUAUUAAGUCGCAGCAUGCUUCCACUCUAGGUUAAAUUUCCUCACGACGUCCCAAAUGAGCUUUUAUAUGGAAGAGCUGACUACUUGUGGCCGUGUUCUUUCUUAAAUAAAAACAUCGGCAAGGGAACAAUUCCCUCAACUCAUAUGGAAUCCUAGGGAUGAUCAGAUUUGCAUCAUCUAACAGUUGAAAAAUGUAGCAGCUUUGGGUUGGUUUUUCUGAGCAGCCGGCUUGUGUUACAAAUGCUGGACGGGCCAGGUAACGACGGGCAAUUGGGGAACUAUCUCUCAGAAAGACGAUAUACUAUUUACUUUUAUUUGUAUGGCAUGAUCUACGUUUUGUGCAUGCUGCAGAAGAAAUAUGAAGAGCUAGCUAAUCAGCGAAAAUGGAAGCAGGUACUUCGAGGUAAUUAAAAGAAACCGUUGCAAUUCCAUCUUGUUGUAAAUGCCCAAUAUUAAUAUUAUUGACAAGAUGAAAUAACCUGGUAUAAUUUAUCAAUGUGGAUGUUUCCCUUAUU